UCGAUAAUCCACGAAAUCCUUACCCUCCCUAGACUAAACAGCUUGUGUACUGCCGUCGUAAGCACACCUCUAAAAGCUCAAGUAUGCAAUUAUGACAAACUCAUAUACGUCAGGUCAAAGUGCAGCUUAUGAGAGGGCGACGAUGGGUUACACCCUAUAUAAAGACACGAAAUGUGGCACCAAAAGCCACAUGAAGGUGGACUUGGACGUAAUAAAGAUACAAAAUCAAAAUGAAGAUGAAUCUGAGACAUGCACACAUCGCCCGUCACUCUUGCCCAAAGGUGAGAUAAGUCGUAACAAAGUAGGUGUAACGGAAGUUGCACCUGU
rnacentral:rRNA from 1 species